UUUUUCAACUUCCAGUUCUCCCCUCUUCUGGUUUAUCCCACUCACAGCAGGAAAAUUACUCUCGCUAAAACACAACUUCUGUCUGUCCCUCUGUUGCUUAAGAACAUUCUGUGGCUUACCACUGCCCUCGGAAUAAACAUAAAAUUCGGAGCAAAACUAUAACAUCAUCUAUGAUGCCGCUUCUCUUCACCUCGUCAAUUAUAUACUUCACUCCCACUCUGUAAAAUGCCUUCAUGUCCUCAAAGGCAAUUUCAUUCAUUCACUAAAAAAAUGCUUGCAAUUCUGCUAGGUGCUGGGGAUGCAUCAAUGAAAACGAAAGCCCCAGUCCUGGAGCACACAUCACUGGAGUCUAGAGGGACAUGCGCACAAGAAAACAAGUUUCACUCUGGGAAGUACAAUAUACUAUUGGAUAAGAGAGGCGCAUAAUAUCCAGGCGUGGAUUAUCAAGAGAAGGCUUCUCAAAGGAAGUGACAUUUACACUGUGGCUUGAAGGCAAAGCAGCAAUUACCCAGGUAGAGAGUGGACAAGCAGUGCCCCAAGAAGAAGGCAAAGACUGUGUGAAGGUCCAGAGGUGAGACUGAGCAUGGUCUGUUCAAGUAACUGAAAGAAACUCUGCUCUGUUGGAAUUUAAUAUAGUGGUGCCUAAGAAAGAAGAGAACAAAUUUGGAAAGCCAAGACAAAACAUGUAGACUUUAUUCUAAGAAAAAUGUGGAGCUACUGGACAUUUUUAAAGAAGGAAAAUAUAAUGAGAAGAUUUAUCCAAGAAAUUACACUCUGGCUGAAGGUGCAGAAUGGGCCAAGAAGGGAUGCAGAGGACCAGGGAAAAAGCCACUUCUAGACCUAAAUUAGAGCCCUUCUGAAUACGGACAAGGUCCUGGAUGAUGGCUGAUGUGGAGAAAAUAUAAAGGUCCUUGGACAUUAGCCUUGAUGGGUGAUCCAUGGGAUAGAUGGUUGCCAUUCCUCAGAUGUUUCCUCCUGAAACCCAGCCACCACCAUGUGAAGAAGGUAGGCACUCAGCCAGUGCUUAACAUCAACCACCAGACACAUAGAAAUAUGAGUGAAUGACCAAGUCUUCAUAUGACCGUAGCCCCUACACUUCUAGUCUUCCAGCUGAGAUCCAGAUAUCGCAAAGUACAGCCAACCCAACCCUAGUGUGUCUGAAUUUCUCACCAAUGGAAACCAUAGAUGUGACGAAAGGAGCUCUGGUUGCCAUCUGGAAUUACGAGGUAAACUUGAGGAUGGAAUGGGAGUCAAAAAAUGAAAGGAUCAUGGAUUCCUGACAACAGUGUUGCUGUUACACGGCCUGGGCUGCUUAACUCCAGACUUCUUUCUAUAUGAGAAAGAAAUCAACUCUUGUCAAAGUAUUAUUGCAGGUUCUCUAUUACAUGGAUUCAAUCCAAGGUGAUAGGAGGAUAAGUAUUAUUUCAAUUUUGCGAUUACUGGGAAGGGCUGGAUGACCUUCAGUUUCUCAUUAUAUACAGAAUUACAUAUGACAGGACAUGAUAAUAAUAAUGACAUUAUUCCUAUUUAAUAAAAUCUG